CAGUGACAAAUGUGAGUGUGGGAAAAAAUGCUGCUCUUCGCCAUUUGAACGGCAGGCAUGUAGAAUAGGACACAAGUUUUAAUUUAUCGGAGAGGAAGAUUCGUGUUUUAAAUUGUUUAGGAAAAAGGAUCCAGUUAGCAGAAAUGAUUUUCUUCAUUUUCCAAAUGUCAGCAAUCACGCGGUCAUACACUGUGUACAGACAUCAUCGAAUUUCGGGAAAAUGGGCAACAGCCUGCUCAAGUGAUUAGAUGAAUGAUAACGAUAUGUGGAGUGCGAAGUAUGAGCCGAAAUUAUCCACUUGAAUUGAAAAAAAAAAAACUAAAAUGAUUGAAUUCGCGAAUACGAAAGUAAUGCCUCUACUCACUCUUAUGGCAAAAACACAUUGCUAUCUGUCAGACUGUGCGUGAAACAUGGCCGCCGAUCACCCUUUCUUGUCCCUCUACAGUAAAAUCCCAUAAGGAACUGUCAGACUGUGCGUGAAGAAUUUACCUUCGUAGUCGCGAAUAAAAACAGUACUAAAAAUGAAAAAAAAUGUAUUUAUUUUCGUUCUCCCUCUGCUUUGCCCACCACACCUAGAAAAAAAUCAAAACAUCAAUGGUAACAGUACAAUGGGUUUAAAAUAUAUGGUCACAUUAUAUGCGUAUGGUAUCCCGUAUAGUUUUUCUCGUGGAACAUAGAUUAUUUAACAACCGCAUGACAUGCUGUACGCCGAAAAAAAUGUACUGGAAAACGACAAGUUUUAAAUGGUAAUUAUACUUAACCGCCCAUUACCCAAAUAAUUAUUUGGUCGAUUACAUCAUACCGCACUGUU